CCUGCAGCCAGCCCCUUCCUGGGGUUUCCACAGAGGCCACCCUCCCCGCAGUGUCUUUCUGUCAUCGGCCUUAAUUAGGCACAUUUGGAGGUCAGCAUGGGGUCCUCCGCCAGGGUGACUUAUGCGCCCCACCACAGGGCCUGCAGGCUCACAAGGGGGUGUUCAGCUUGUCUAUGCUGGUGGCAGUUCUGUGAAUGAACCUUCCAGGCGUCCUGGAUGGGGACCGGGGGGGGGGCCUCCGGCCUCUCACAAAGCAGCAGGAGCGUCCAGGACACCAGCAGCUGCAACCGUGCGGGGGGCUUGGGGGUGACAGGCAGUGCCAAGUCUGGAGCGCAGGAGACACAGACCGCCACCCACGUCGCCUUCGCUCAGCCCAGCGAGCCUCUGCCUCUGCCUCCACGUGACUCAGAGGGAAACCGCCACCUUCAGAUUUCUCUGCCCAUUUUUCAGAUUAAUUGUGGGUGUCCCGAUCUCCCAGGACUGCAGGGAUGACCUUGGAUCUGGAGCCGUGGCAGCUGUGAGGUGUUAAGACGAGGCGACUCUGGAGUGGGGCAGACUGAACCCAGCACUACUGUGGCCUGAUGGAAAGGGACAACUGGCCCGGAAACUUGCACAUGGGGAGGCCAUGGGAGAGGAAGCCAGAGAUGGGGAGACCACUUGAGCCAGGGAAUGCCAGAGAACACAGUCGCCUGGAGGGACAGGCCGUGCCUCCUGCCUUGGAAGAAAACUGCCACGCAGGCCCAGCCUCCAGAACCACAAGAGGCCACACGUGUUUGGAGGUGGAGGCUCCCAGCACGUGGACUCCGCAGUAGGCCCAGAACGGAACCCCGUGGCUGCUCCAGCCUCUGCCUCCCUUGCCUCGGUUCCUCUGUGUCAGGAGGGGGACCCACGGCUCUCCCAGGCGUCUGUCACCAAAUGAACUAAGUUGUGGGGCUCGGGCGGGGCUCACGCUGCGUGGGCAUCACCGUGAGGUCAGCGCCUUGCACCUCCCUGCGUGGCCCUGCCUAAGCCAGUGGCUGCUGGUGUUUGACAGGGAAAGCGAGAUUAGGCUGAGGUGCAGGAAGUGGGGGUAAUUUGCUGGAGGUGACGGAGGCAGACCUGAGCUCAGGCGCAUCCCCAUCACGGGUCUCCAGGACACAGGAGCCCACGUCACCCCCCACCUUGAAGGGCACCCAGAGGCCACCCUGACAGCACCACAGCAUCAGAGUGGGAGGAAUCCAAGAUGUGGCAGGUGAAGGCUGGGGCGCAGAUGGCCACCCGGGGACAGCACCGCCGGCAUGCACGGGGCUCAGAGCAGGCCUUGGGUACCUUCGUGUCUCCUCUUACCCCAUGACCACCACAGAAACGUGCCCAGGCCAGCCCACCGGCAUUGGAGAGUGGGGUCAUCUCAACGGACACCCAGACACAGAAGAGCCAGGCAGGGGCAGCAGAACCACUGACAAACCCACAGCCGGCCACGGAUUCACAGGCCCAACCAAGUCCUGAGAACCAACAGCCAACCCACAGAUCCAUGAGCUAAAGUCACUGUUCCCUGCUCUCUCUUCUCAGAGUGCUCACGUGGCCGUCACAGUGUGACGGUGGCGAUGGAAACUCCUAAUUCACAGGUCCAGGUGGUGGUUCCACAUUCUCACAGGUGACACAGGAGGCGCCACAGCACCCCCACAGGCCACGUGACGCCGUGGUUCUGAAGUGCCACAGGACUCAGACCCACAGCAGCAGCCUCCUCCCUGGCAGCCCUGAUGUCCCCAGUCAGCCGGCUCGGAGGAGAGCUGCCUCAUCAGUCCCGGGGCUCCAGAGGUUCUGGGGUACAUGUGAAGAACAUGCAGGAUUGUUGCAUAGGUAC